rnacentral:rRNA from 1 species
UACGUAGGGUGCAAGCGUUAAUCGGAAUUACUGGGCGUAAAGCGUGCGCAGGCGGCUUUGCAAGACAGAUGUGAAAUCCCCGGGCUUAACCUGGGAACUGCAUUUGUGACUGCAUGGCUGGAGUGCGGCAGAGGGGGAUGGAAUUCCGCGUGUAGCAGUGAAAUGCGUAGAGAUGCGGAGGAACACCGAUGGCGAAGGCAGCCCCCUGGGUCGCCACUGACGCUCAGGCACGAAAGCGUGGGGAGCAAACAGG